AUUGAACGCUGGCGGCAUGCUUAACACAUGCAAGUCAAGCGCGCGGCGGACGGGUGAGUACUGUCUGGGACACUGCCUGAUGGAGGGGGAUAACUACUGGAAACGGUAGCUAAUACCGCAUACCAUCAGAUGUGCCCAGCUGGGAGUAGCUAGUAGGUGGGGUCAUGGCUCACCUAGGCGACGAUCCCUCGCUGGUCUGAGAGGAUGACCAGCCACACUGGAACUGAGACACGGUCCAGACUCCUACGGGAGGCAGCAGUGGGGAAUAUUGCACAAUGGGUGCAAGCCUGAGGCAGCCAUGCCGCGUGUGUGAAGAAGGCCUUCGGGUUGUAAAGCACUGUCAGCGAGGAGGCGUUACUCGCAGAAGAAGCACCGGCUAACUCCGUGCCAGCAGACGCGGUAAUUC
rnacentral:rRNA from 1 species